AGCGAACGCUGGCGGCAGGCCUAACACAUGCAAGUCGAACGGACCUUUCGGGGUUAGUGGCGGACGGGUGAGUAACACGUGGGAACGUGCCUUUAGGUUCGGAAUAGCUCCUGGAGACGGGUGGUAAUGCCGAAUGUGCCCUUAGGGGGAAAGAUUUAUCGCCUUUAGAGCGGCCCGCGUCUGAUUAGCUAGUUGGUGAGGUAAUGGCUCACCAAGGCUACGAUCAGUAGCUGGUCUGAGAGGAUGACCAGCCACAUUGGGACUGAGACACGGCCCAAACUCCUACGGGAGGCAGCAGUGGGGAAUCUUGCGCAAUGGGCGAAAGCCUGACGCAGCCAUGCCGCGUGGAUGAUGAAGGUCUUAGGAUUGUAAAAUCCUUUCACCGGUGAAGAUAAUGACUGUAGCCGGAGAAGGAGCCUCGGCUAACUUCGUGCCAGCAGCCGCGGUAA
rnacentral:rRNA from 1 species